UACGUAGGGGGCAAGCGUUGUCCGGAUUUAUUGGGCGUAAAGAGCGUGUAGGCUGUUCGGUAAGUCUGCCGUGAAAUCCCUCGGCUCAACUGAGGAACUGCACGGGAUACUGGAUGACUUGAGUUCGGGAGAGGGAAGCGGAAUUCCGGGUGUAGCGGUGAAAUGCGUAGACAUCCGGAGGAACACCGGUGGCGAAGGCGGCUUCCUGGACCGAUUACUGACGCUGAGGCGCGAAAGCUAGGGGAGCAAACGGG
rnacentral:rRNA from 1 species